UACGAAGGGGGCUAGCGUUGUUCGGAAUUACUGGGCGUAAAGCGCACGUAGGCGGGUUGUUAAGUCAGGGGUGAAAUCCUGGAGCUCAACUCCAGAACUGCCUUUGAUACUGGCAACCUAGAGACUGGAAGAGGUUAGUGGAAUUCCCAGUGUGAGAGGUGGAAUUCGUAGAUAUUAGGAAGAACACCAGUGGCGAAGGCGGCUCACUGGUCCGGUACUGACGCUGAGGUGCGAAAGCGUGGGGAGCAAACAGG
rnacentral:rRNA from 1 species